AGACCGACUUUGGACUUCAGCAGCAACACCAGCUCUUCCCUGGUCUCCAGCCUGUCUGCCUGCUGCGCAGACUUCAGCCUGGCCAGCCCUCAUAAUCAUGCAUGGAAGAUGUGCCUGCUUCCCCUUUAUCUUCUGCCGUGAUUGAAAGUUUCCCGAGGCCUCCAAGUGCCAUGCUUCCUGUACAGCCUGCAAAACCGUGAGCCAAUUAAACCUCUUUUCUUUCUAAAUUAUCCAAAUUAUUGUAUUUCUUUAUAGCAGUGUGAGAAUGGCCUAAUACAGUUGGUUUAGAGGAGAGGAAGAAGUUCCAGCCCAACUGCAUGGUACCCCAAGAACAUGCAGAUCCAUAUUGUAGAUAGAUCCCAUGCUCCUUCACCUCCCAGCCGACUUGUCCUUCCUCUGGCAGGUUCUCCCUGGUCCUUUCAGGUCCCUCCUCUUCAAGUUUGUCCACUUCUCCAUCGAGAAGACCUAACUCUGCCCACCUUGCUCUCAUCUUAGGCCACUCCUGUCUGCCUCUCUGCAUGCCAGUACUGAUGCAAGGCAGGUUCUUGGCUUUGCUCAGGAAAGAAUUCAAGAGUGAACUGGCAGUGGAAGAAAGCAGGUUUAUUGAAGCAGCAGUGUCACUGCUCAGUGACUGCUCCUUGCACAAUAGAGCUAGCUCAUAGGCAGUUUGCUCAGAGGAGCAGCAUAUGGGCUGUUGGUUAGCAGUAUUUAUACUCAUUUUUAAUUAAAUGCAAAUUAAGGGAUAGGUCAUUCAGAAAUUUCUAGAAAAUGGGUGGUAACUUCCAGGUUUUGUGGUGGAAAGGGGUGAUAACUUCCGGGUGUUGCCAUGACAUUUGUAAACUGUCAUGGCACUGGCAGGAGUGUCUUAUGCUGAUGGGCAGCUAGGGCAAGUACAGGUUGCUUUCUUGGUGCCACUUGCUGGUUCUGGGCAGUUUCCUAUCUGGUCUGGAAAACAAGUCCUGCCAGUCUCCUACCUCAAUACCAGCUGUGGUUUCCCUUUGCCUAGUAGGGGAGCAGCUGCGUUUUCCUUAUUAGUUGGCUCAGCUUCUUUCCUUCAAUGAGUUGCCAUAUGUUACCCAUGGGGCAAGGCUAUGCCUUGUUGCAAAGAUUCCACAAAUACAAAACUCUAGCUUCAUUGUGAGAUAUAUAUACUUCAACUCUUUAGAAAAAGAAAUUAUAAUAAAUACACACUCAAAUUUCACAUGCACCAGAUUUUAACAUACUAGAGACCACCACUACAGUGACUUCUACUACUGGGUGAGCUUGGUUAAGUUCAAACCCAGAAACAGCAUUUCUCUCUUGAAAUAUAUUUUCGCUCUUGUGUAUAUAUUUGAAUGUCUUACAGUUGUGUCUUUGAACAGAUCAUGUAGGUCUGCUAUAAUCUGUCCCUGAAUUUGGGCCUGUGCAUGUACCCAAAAGUAAACUAUUGCAAGUAUACACCCUCUAUUAACAUGGGAAAGACCACGCUCCAUUAAAUUGCUGGGUAGGGCUUGGGUGUAUAUGGUCAGCAUUGUGCUCUCUUCUGGGGUGAAAAUCAGUUAUCCAAUACAAGUGGACAUGUUAUGCAUUGUCUUAUGGCAGUAACAUAUUGUAGUAGUUUUAAUGAAUUAAACUUUCUUGCCUUCAGGUUUAUAAAUUUUAUACGUAUAUAUGUAUAUGUGUAUGAGACAGAGUUUAUGUUUAUAUUUAUUUUCCUCUGCCCCACAAGUGGGAAUGGGAUAAUUAUGCUUACAAUAAGAAAUGUAUCAAGAUAAAAAUGACAAGUCUGACCAGGUCGAAGGCCAGUCAAUGAAGGCCAUGUGUGGAAAAUUUUCUCAUAAAGUCAUGCAGAGACAAGGAAAACAUUAAUAAUUAUUUGUCAUUGGGAUUCACCUUUUAUGGAGCUAAAAGUUACUGGAUGUACUUCAUGCAGUAAAAAUUUGCAAAAUAGUUUUACGAUGCCUGCCAAGUUACAAUGGUAUUUUGUUUUAUUAUUAUUAUUAUUAUACUUUAAGUUUUAGGGUACAUGUGCACAAUGUGCAGGUUAGUUACAUAUGUAUACAUGUGCCAUGCUGGUCUGCUGCAGCCAUACAAUGGUAUUUUGAAACAGAAUAUAGUGAGAAUAAAAAUAAGGUUAUUGGUAUCUUACAGUGUGUCUUGAACUUACUGUACCUAGAAAACGGAAUAUGAACUAAAAUUAAAUCUUACAAUAAAAAGUCACAUUCAGCAUGACUCUAAGUAGAUGUACUCUGAGGGAAAAUGGAAUGUACCAUCAGGGGUAGUUUUGUUAAACCAUCUGUUUAAACAAUGCAACUGGCUACUAUAAAAAUUCAACCACUCUCACUGUCUCAUAAGAUACUAGCUCAGAUGCAAGAAUUAUCACCCAGUGUGUUUAAUGAAUCAAUUAAAAGGCUGAAAUUUUGUGAAAUUUUGAUAGCUCCAGUGGACAAGACUCUGUGUUGCUUGCUUUUGUAUUGUAAGUCCAUGCAGGCAAAUAUGAGAAAGAUUUAUUAUUUUCUAAACUCUUGAAAUGUACAUGACAGAAGAAGAAACUUUUAGAUGUUUGAAUCAGUUUUUAACACACCAUCAAAUAAAUUGGCAAAAAUAUAAGCAAAAAUAUAAAUGGACAGAGUGAAAACAAUGUCAGGGAAAAAACUCAGCCAGAAGGGUUCAUGUCAACACCAUGACCAAAGUGAGUUCAAAUAUUCAUGGCAGGUAGAGUGGAUGUGAGCUAGUUAUUAAAAAGAUGACAGCAUCUUUCAAAACUACAUUGCACCAUGCCUUGCAAAUUAUCAGUUUUAUUAAGGAAUAGUAUUUAUACUGUAGACUUUGAUGUGUGAUAUGGAUUAUGUGAAUAGUGAGUUCUAGAAUUUACCUUUUUCACACCAAAGACCAAUGCCAAAUGAGAUAAGAAAUCACUGGUCUUCGAUUUUUUGUGGUUAUUGUUGUUGGUAAACAAGCUCCAUUACCAUACUAUCUCUCAAAUAUAACAAGGUUUGACCACUGAAGCUUUAUAUAUAUACUUAUCUUAGACUCUGUCUAUCUAUCUAUCAUCUAUCUAUCUGUCUAUAAUAUAUUUAAUUUUUAGGACGGUAUAUUUUUACAGAAUAAUUGAGCAGAAAGUACAGUGAGUUCCGUCUCUUUCCCCCACCUCAACACACACAGUUUCCCCUAGUGUUAACAUCUGACAUUAGUGUGGUACACUUGUUAAAACUGAUUAAUCAAAACCAAUAAUGCUAUUAUGAACUAAAAUCCAUGGUUUAGGGUAGGGUUCAUUCUGUGUUGCAUAGGUCUAUGUGUUUUGACAAAUGUAUAAUGUCAUGUAUCUGCCAUAACAGUGCCAUACAUAAUGGUGUCACCACCCAAAGGACCACUGUAGUUUUAAUAAGCUGAAAAAGCCCAAUUGGAAAAGCAGAGUGACCUUGGUACCUUGCUUACAAUGGCCAAGAAAGCACCAGGAAUGAAAUCGGAACACAUUUCAGUUUCAUUCAACACAUCGCAUUUCAUGCAAUACCAACUAAAUGUACCUGCUUUGAUCCUGAGAAUGAAGGAAAAUAAGGGGAUAGAAGGUGGCCAGGCAGAAGGAAUGGUGUGAUGCAGAGAAAGCACUGGAAUCCAGCUGCACUUGGCUGCUCAGACUGGAGCAUUCGCCCGCCUCCCUGUGCUCAGGCUCCGGGUCCAUAAAGUCAAAGUGAGGAGUUUGACUCCAUGAUAGGGAAGGCCCUGCCAGCUCCACUUGAAAGAAGGCACAAUUAUUAUAACCAGGGCUUGUAUAUGUUUAAUGGAUUGGUAAACAUUUUCCUUAAGCCCCAGGAUUUUUUUGUGUGUGCCAAUUGCCUUUGGAGAUUUCAAGAAUUAAAAAACAAAUGACUAAGAAAACAUAAAUAUGGAGACAUAUAUUUCCGAUUUUUAGCUUCUUAGUAAAUAACUUGCUUGGACUACAGCUAAAACAAAGAGAAAAUGCUAGCAAUAUAGAUGGUUUCUAGAUAAAAGAACAUUCUUCUUGUCAUGGAAAAAAAACAAUACUAACUAUGUGAAUGCUUCCAGAAGGUAGAAUUUUCAUUUGGUACCUAUUUUUCUUUUUCCCUUUUGUUUUUAAACACAGAAUCAAUCUAAAGUUGGUUCAUGGUAAGAGAAGAAAAAUGGGAGAGCAGUUUUUUUAUAAGUGCCUGUGGAUUUAUUCUGAAACCCUAAGUUCUAGAUUGAAAACAUUUUUUUAAAUCCUCCUCUUGGGAAAGAAGAUGAAAUCCAAAGGAUUGUGUGAAUUUACACUAUUAAUAAUAGCUACCAUUUAUUGUAAGCUUGAUGUCAUAAGCACUUUACAUGGAUUAUAACAUUCUAUCCACUCAUCAAUCUUAUGAAGUAGACACUGUUAUUAUCUCCAUUUUACAGACAUGACAAAAAGGCACAGAGAAGUUAAAUAGCUUGCCCAAGGUCACUCUGUGGUGGUUAAGCUGGGAUUUGAGCCGAGGCAGGUUGACUUCUGAACCUGAGUUUUUAAUCACUAAACUCAACUGCUAUAAAUUACAUACUUAUAUUUAUUUGUAUACAUGUGUUUAUUUAAUGGGAAAAAAAUGUUUCAUAUAAUGAUGUAUCUGAGAUGGGAGCAGAGACAAGUAGUAAAAUACAGAUGAUUUAUAAAAGGCUUGUUAUGCAUUAAAAAUGCAUAAAACCUGGCCUCAGCUGUUUUAAAAUUAGAGUAAAUUACUGUACAAAUUUCUGUUGCAAUCAGAAGACGUUGGCUACUGCUGUUGUUGUGAAUAAUAAAAUUCUUUGUCUCUGA